UUAGCCAAAUGCACAGCAUUUGCAGCGGCUGCUAUAGCGAAGAUGUGCCACUCAAACUAAUUUUAGUUCAGUUUUCUUCAUUCAACGAGCAGGUUUAGUAGAAAGUGUUGGUUGGCGCAUUUAUUAGACCGCCACGCUAGUGUGUCGUCGUCGUGGUUAUUGUCGCGGUCACUGUGCUAGUAAACGAAAUUAAGUUGUUUAUUGUUACGUGAAUGCGUUGCGUUUUGUAGGUGUUUGCGUGUAAAAGAAUGCGGGUCGUGCACAAAUACAUACAUGCAUGCAUGAGUAUAUGACUGUAUUUGUGUUGAAUUCGAUGAGUGUGGUGGUUUGAGUCAUACCUGAAAAAAUAGUCGAAGAAAAAACAAAAGUCACAAAAGCAGCAGCAGAUUUUGUAGUAAAUCGAGUAAACAAAAAAAUAAUUGCAAUAUGCGAUAUGAACUUUUUUGCAGAAUUUAAAUAAAUUAUUAAACAAGUCGAAAAUUAAAAGAAAUUAAUUACAAAAGAAUAAAGUUAGCAAACACCGGAAGUGGCGAAGCCGUUAAGAAAACGUAAUAAAUGUGUGUUUGUUUGCAGAAAAAACAAAACUGAGUGGAAUACUUGGAUGCAGCAGCGCAGUUUCCUGCCUAUUCUCAUAUCUUUGUUGGUGUAGGUCAAUAACUUGCUAAGGCGUAAAGAUACUCGAAUUCAGAAGAUAGUGGGAAAGUAGCAGAGGCACAAAGAAAGUUCAGCAGCAACAGCAAAAUUGGCUUAAUUCGACUUAUCAAACGAUCACUAAUUGAAGCAGUUAUAAAUAUUACUGACAUAGAAUAGUGAAGAAAAUAAGUAAACAUUAGUUAUUCCAACCAGCACAACAACAAUACGGCAAUAGUUGCCGGGUGCACAGCCAGAAAAGAUAACAAAGGCAAAUACCUAGUGCAGGAAGUAGAAGGCAGCGUAGAAAAAGUGGUAGCAAACAGCAAAACCAACGAGUUGCUUACACGCACACAAAUGCAUUUGUUGUACAUACAUACAAACAUAAGUACAUAUUUCUGUUUCCACUUUACUCGCAUUCUCUACUUGGCUGUUGGCUGUUGGCUGUCUGGUCAAGACGAAUGAAUACCACCUUUCCGGUUUGGUUGGCAGCAGAAGUGUUUGGAAGCGUGUGCAGGCAGAAAGCAGGUUUUCGAACAGUGCAAGGCGCAGUGCAAAAGAUAAUAAAAGUACAUAAAUAAAAAAAAAAAAAUUACCUGAAAAUAAAAAUUGAGAGAUCAAAUGUAACGGGCAGCGAGUAGCUGCAGCUAUUUUGUGAGAAAGAAUUGCGCUGGAAAUACAAGAAAAUUAAAUUAUAACAAUUGAGUGCACGAAAAUUAAUAAAUU